rnacentral:rRNA from 1 species
GUGUCAGCAGCCGCGGUAAUACAGAGGGGGCAAGCGUUAUUCGGAAUUAUUGGGCGUAAAGGGCGCGUAGGCGGCCAGUCAAGUGGAAGGUGAAAUCCCUCGGCUUAACCGAGGAACUGCCUUCCAGACUGUUUGGCUUGAGACCAGGAGAGGUGAGUGGAAUUCCCAGUGUAGCGGUGAAAUGCGUAGAUAUUGGGAGGAACACCAGUGGCGAAGGCGGCUCACUGGACUGGUACUGACGCUGAGGCGCGAAAGCGUGGGGAGCAAACGGGAUUAGAAACCCUGGUAGUCC